rnacentral:rRNA from 1 species
AGCAGCCGCGGUAAUUCCAGCUCCAAUAGCGUAUAUUAAAGUUGUUGCCGUUAAAAAGCUCGUAGUUGGACCUUGGGCCUGGCUGACCUGUCCUCCUAAUCGAGCGCACGGGUUCGGUCGGGCCUUUCCUUCUGGGGAUCCCGAUGCCCUUCACUGGGCGUCGUGGGGAACCAGGACUUUUACCUUGAAAAAAUUAGAGUGUUCAAAGCAGGCCUUUGCUCGAAUACAUUAGCAUGGAAUAAUAGAAUAGGACAGAGGUUCUAUUUUGUUGGUUUCUAGGACCGCUGUAAUGAUUAAUAGGGAUAGUCGGGGGCGUCCGUAUUCAAUUGUCAGAGGUGAAAUUCUUGGAUUUAUUGAAGACGAACUACUGCGAAAGCAUUCGCCAAGGAUGUUUUCAUUAAUCAGUGAACGAAAGUUAGGGGAUCGAAGACGAUCAGAUACCGUCGUAGUCUUAACCAUAAACUAUG